rnacentral:rRNA from 1 species
AGCUCCAAUAGCGUAUAUUAAAGUUGUUGCGGUUAAAAAGCUCGUAGUUGGAUUUCUGUCGAAGGCGGCCGGUCUCUACUUCGUAGGUGCAUCUGGUUCGGUUUUGGCAUCCUCGUGGGGAACGUUUCUGUGAUUUAUUUCAUGGGGCGGAAUUCACGACUUUUACUUUGAGGAAAUUAGAGUGUUCACGGCAAGCUAUCGCUUUGAAUACAUUAGCAUGGAAUAAUAAUAUAGGGCGUAAGUUCUAUUUUGUUGGUUUCUAGGACAUACGCAAUGA